rnacentral:lncRNA from 1 species
UUGCUUUCUUUCAUCUAUUUUUCUUUUAUAAACCAAACAAAGAGAUGCGUUGCUCUUUGACUAAGUUGAUCUCCUUUAGAACUUGGGUUUUGUCAUGGCUGCUUUAUUUGACCAAAAGAUUCACAAGCAUAAACACACAAUAUUACAUAGUCAUUGUAAAAAAAAAUAUAUUUAUUAUUAUAGAAACUUUUUUUUAGCAAGUUUUAUUAAAUUUAUUUAUUAUAUAAACUUGUUAAACAAGUUUUAGUAAUACAAUUUUUAUGUAUUAAAUUUAUUUAUGACUAUAAAUCGUCUUGUUUAAUUCAUUGCCUUUUUAAUUGCACUUGCCAAUCCAUCAUAGGCUAUCUCCCAAGCAGUGUUUAAUUCUUCACUCCAUUUAUCUUCUGAUACUUCCUUUAUUGUUUUUAGCAAAGCUUCUUUAACCACCUGAAACACAUCAAAAAUAUUAAUUGCAUGUGAACGAAUAUGAAAAAUACUUAUCAAAAACUAGUUUAUUUUUACCAAAACAAUUAUUAAUAUAUAUUUUUAUAUCAUUUUUCUAUCUUUGCUUCUUUGGAAUAAAUGAAAUAAAUAAUAAGAAGUAGUAACAAAACAAUUGAAUCACAAUGAUCCAUAGUUUUUUUUUUUGUGCGUGGAGAAUUUCGUUAGUUACAUCCACUGAGUUUAUUAUGUUAUAUUAUAGUUUUAUCUUUAUACAUUAAUUUUACAUGAUUUUCUUUAAUUAUUAAUUUCCAAUAUUUACAUCAUAAUUUUAAAAAUGGAAUGGAACUGAAAAUGCUUAUUUAUUGUUGUAUUAUUAUAUUAGAAAAUUAGUGGCUAUUAGACAGUAAAAAAUUCAAGAACACAUCCACUAAAAUAUCUUAUUAGAUUAUCAUACCACAAAAUGAGGAUCAACAACUCCCUUUUGGAUGUGGAUAGCGCCUAGUGUAGCAUCACCCAAAACCACUUCUCCUUUUACUCGGAGUUGAACAGCCGAGUCGCGUACCUAUAAUUCAAAAAAUAUAAACAUCUUCAGAUAGAUAAUGUGCAUGUUAAAUAAAAUUAAAAAAAAAAAAUUAAAUUUGGUAUUAUAUUCCUAUAUUACUGGACUGUGAUUAUAAAUUAUGAAGAAGAUAAAAUAUCUAGGGAUAGAAAUAAACAAUCUUACCAACACGUAAAAUUAAAAAUAAAGGAUUGAAUUAAUAAAAGUAAAUGUGUCAAAUGUGACGGGCAAUAUAUCCGAAUCUUGGAGUUAAAAAUUGAAACUUAUUGUUCCCAUUUUAGCCUUUGUUGUAAAACAUCUGGAAAUUACACAUUUACCUUCAUUGGUAGUUAACUCACUUCGAUAGUUAAUUGCCGCAGAACAAGAAAUAUCGGCAAUUAACUACCAUUGGAGUAAGUUUUUUAGUUAUCUUUUUUAGCUCUCUCACACACACACACAUAUAUAUAUAUAUAUAUAUAUAUAUAUAUAUAUAUAUAUAACACUAUACAAUGUUACAUAUAUUAAUUAAAUAUACAUUGCAAUGCAAUUACUAUAAUAAACAUAUAUGAAGGACAAUGAUUUAAAGUAAUAUUUCAUAGUUAUUAAUUUUAAAAAUAAUAAUAUUGACACUGAAUGUAGACUAAAAAAAAGAAAGUGAAUUGACGUUGAAUUACAUAUAUGUUGGAUUAAACUCACCAUUCCAAAAACUUUUUCAGCGUGGGCUUGGAGUUUAGGACUAUCUUGUACUCCAGCUGAAUCCUUAAGAAAAGAGAACAUGCCCUUUGCUGCAGGUGCUUUGUCUAAUAUACUAUUUUAAUAAAAACAACAAUAAAAUUAUUGUUAAUUUGUUCUCGACAAUCAACAAAAAGGGAAAAUACAAGUUAAAAACACUCAAAAUAGGUAAAACUUACAUAGUGUAGAACAAAACACUGUAUUUAGGAAGGUUUUGUUUAAAUGCUUCCCAUGAGCUAUUAACUAAAGCCUCUUGGUUUUCGGUGAAACCCAUAUUUCUCUACUUCUUGUUUUAAGUUUUGAUAUUGCAA